GUCCCAGUAGCGCAGAUAGCGAUUUGGACUUCUAAUCCGAAGGUCGUGGGUUCGAAUCCCACCUGGAAUG